rfam:Nicotiana attenuata strain TT chromosome 8, whole genome shotgun sequence.
CCGACCUUAGCUCAGUUGGUAGAGCGGAGGACUGUAGUGGUACUGCUGAAAUCCUUAGGUCACUGGUUCGAAUCCGGUAGGUCGGA